rnacentral:guide_RNA from 1 species
AACCAUACAAAAGUUGUGUACGUGAAGAUGAUGAUAUAUAUUAA